UUUAUUUCACCAAGUGCACUCGAUGAACAGACAUUACUAACACACAUCAUAGAAUGGGAUUUCAUACAUUAUCCUAUCCAUUCCUAUCCAAAGUGCAUCUGGUUAUAACUUUAGUCUCGUGGGAGUGUAUCACAUGGGGCAUGCGUGGUCAGAAAUGAACAAAGGACAUUUGGGGAGACAGCUGGUGGUCUAUAUAUAAGUCACCAGCUCAGAGGGGGACAUGUUAUGCGCCUGUCAUUUGGACUCCCUUUAUCUCAAUCAAUGCUUAAUCUGAUAUUAUGAAUUUUCCAUACCUUAUGUUGUAAUCCAGUCGGUGUCAAUGUGACAAGGGUCAUGACAUGAUGAUGACUCAAAGAGGGAAACCACAGGGCAGGGAGAGGUAAGGAGGCUUAGAUGGAAAUGCUGAGUGAUUCGUGCUUUUGAGACGCCGAUUAUAUUGCAAUCCACGAGGAGACAGCGUGGCAGGCUGACCACCUGUAACGUGAGUGCAGGCAGCAAGGAGCCAAGGUAAGUUGCUAGCUAGCAUUAAACUUAUCUUAUAAAAACAAUUAAUCUUAACAUAAUUACUACUUAACUACACAUGGUUGAUGAUAUUACUAGUUUAACUAGCUUGUCCUGCGUUGCAUAUAAUCAAUGUGGUGCCUGAAAUUGUGUCACUUCUCUUGCAUUCAGUGUAAGCAGAGUCAGGGUACAUGCAGCAGUUUGUGUCGCCUGGCUCGUUGCGAACUGUGUGAAGAAUAUUUCUUCCUAACAAAGACCGUAAUUAAUUUGCCAGAAUUUUACAUAAUUAUGACAUAACAUUAAAGGUUGUGCAAUGUAACAGCAAUAUUUAGACUUAGGGUUGCCACCCGUUUGAUAAAAUAGGGAACGGUUCCAUAUUUCACUGAAAUAAUAAAUGUUUUGUUUUUGAAAUGAUAGUUUCCCGGAUAUGACCAUAUUAAUGAGCUAAGGCUCGUAUUUCAGUGUGUUUAUUAUAUUAUAAUUAAGUCUAUGAUUUGAUAGAGCAGUCUGACUGAGCGGUGGUAGGCAGCAGCAUGCUCGUAAGCAUUCAUUCAAACCGCACUUUCCUCCGUUUGCCAGCAGCAUUUCGCAAUGCUUGAAGCACAGCACUGUUUAUGACUUCCAGCCUAUCAACUCCCGAGAUUAGGCUGGCAAUACUAUAGUGCCUAUAAGAACAUCUAAUAGUCAAAGGUCUAUGAAAUACAAAUGGUAUAGAGAGAAAUAGUCCUAUAAUAACCACAACUUAAAACUUCUUAACUGUGAAUAUUGAAGACACAUGUUAAAAGGAACCACCAAGGAACUUAAACGUGAGCUUUUUUACAUGGUACAUAUUGCACUUUAACUAUCUUCUCCAACACUGUGUUUUUGCAUUGUUUAAAACAAAUUGAACAUGUUUCAUUAUUUAUUUGAGACUAAAUUGAUUUUAUUUAUGUAUUAUAUUAAGUUAAAAUAAAAGUGUUCAUUGUUCAUUAAG